AACGCACAUUGCGCCCCUUGGUAUUCCGAGGGGCAUGCCUGUUCGAGCGUCAUUAUGACCACUCAAGCCUAGCUUGGUAUUGGGGUUCGCGGUCUCGCGGCUCCUAAAAUCAGUGGCGGUGCCGUCUGGCUCUAAGCGUAGUAAUUCUCUCGCUAUAGGGUCCGGGCGGUUGCUUGCCAGAAUCCCCCCAAUCUCACGGUUGACCUCGGAUCAGGUAGGGAUACCCGCUGAACUUAA
rnacentral:misc_RNA from 1 species